GCUAGUAAUCGCGAAUCAGAAUGUCGCGGUGAAUACGUUCCCGGGUCUUGUACACACCGCCCGUCACACCAUGGGAGUCGGAAAUGCCCGAAGUCAGUGACCCAACCGUAAGGAGGGAGCUGCCGAAGGUGGAGCCGGUAACUGGGGUGAAGUCGUAACAAGGUACC
rnacentral:rRNA from 1 species